GACGAACGCUGGCGGCGUGCUUAACACAUGCAAGUCGAACGAUGAAGAAGAGACACGCGCACUUCGGUUCAAAUUUCACUUCGGAUUAGUGGCAGACGGGUGAGUAACGCGUGAGCAACCUACCUCUUACAAAGGGAUAGCCUCGGGAAACCGUGAUUAAUACCAUAUGACACCUUCAUAAGGCAUCUUAAGAAUGUUAAAGCUACGGCGGUAAGAGAUGGGCUCGCGUCCCAUUAGCUAGUUGGUGAGGUAACGGCCCACCAAGGCGACGAUGGGUAACCGGACUGAGAGGGUGAACGGUCACAUUGGAACUGAGACACGGUCCAAACUCCUACGGGAGGCAGCAGUGGGGAAUAUUGCACAAUGGAGGGAACUCUGAUGCAGCGACGCCGCGUGAGCGAUGAAGGAAUUCGUUUCGUAAAGCUCUGUUCUAUGGGAAGAAAAGGACUGUACCAUAGGAGAAAGCCCCGGCUAAAUACGUG
rnacentral:rRNA from 1 species